GGACUUAUUCAGCAGAACCCCCAAGAAGAUGCAGACUAAGAAAUGCCAAUGCUUUGAUGGGUACAAGGAAGAAAUAGGACUAAGACAAGACAAAUAAUGGAGGACUUACAUGGCAGAGGUAAAUCACCCACAUCUCUUUCUCCAACUCCUUAUGCUCGAUGCUCAGCAUUGAAGCCCUUUACCCCAGGGACAAAUACAAGUUUGACAAAGCCAUCUGAGGAAAAUAAGAGACUUGAUCUUUAUGAGGAAGCAGACAUAUUUGCAAAAAAAAAAAGUAAAUAAAAAUUAGCAGUGUAAAAGGAUAAAGGCAAGAAACCUCAAUGCUAAAUAUUCAACUCCCACAUUGGCACCUUUACCUCAGCCUUCUGUCAGAAACAGUGUAAGUGAUGGAAAAAUGAAAAAGUAACAUGUAGCGGCCUUGUUUUCAAAGUUGGAAUUACUGGUGACUGACAAAGGAAUCUACCAUCUAUGUCUGCUUGUCACUCUGGGAGUCAGCUGUUACUGGAAGAAUAAUGGAUGUCCAACUUCUGAUAUGCCUUUCUUACCAAAGAUGUGGAUAACUAUAUUUCUGAAUAAUCAUCAGCUCUUCUGUCAUAAGUGAUCAUAUUUCCACAUUCAAGUUUGUUUUGUUUUUUCUUUCCCAAAUUAUCAUGUGCCUGGAGAGUCAUAGAAUGGUCUCUCAUGAAUUCAAAGACACAGAUUGUUUACUGUGAGGUUUAAGAAAUUUACAUGAAUAAUUUAGGUAAUCAUCUUACCCUUUUCCUCUGAAGCAAUUGAGAAACAAGCACAGGAGUCAAAUGAAUAUUCAAAAAUUAAGUUUUAAAAACCAAUAAAACCUGGAUUGGAAGAUGAAACUCAGCCCCAGACUGGAACCAUAUUUCUACUUCCUCCCCAUCCCUUGUCCACAAUGUUCCUUCUGCAUCCAGAAUCCAGGGGUGAUGGCUGCAGUGCAAAACAUACACUAGAAGAUGACUUCAUAAUAGAGUGGUAAAUAUAUAGUUAAGGAUCCCAGAAAAAAAAGAAACUAGGGAACACAGUUUUUUACUCACUGGAUAAAUGAGUCUUCCUUUGGAAAAAAUGAGUCAGAGAAGCCAGAGUGGGAGUAUGAGAUCCUGAAUCCUGAGUCACUCUUGAGUGACUCAAGCCAACAGCAGAACACUAUUAAAGUGCAAAUAUACGCUCUCAAUUAAAAGCAACCACUUUUAAUUCAUCAGCAUCUUCUCAAAGAUAACAGCAGAUGAUCCAGCUGAUACAAAGAACUACUGUCAAAACUAUAAUACUCAGAAUUGAAAAUUUCAGAUGAAAAAAUUGGAAUAUAGAAGGUAUGGUGAGGUAUAGGAGAAGCAGGUCCAUGUGAGGGUCAUAGUUCAGGGUUUCUGGUGUCUGUGCUGCUGCAUUAUAAUUCUGGAUUUGAACACAAACUUCAGCUACCAUUUUGCUUUUUGCUAAUCAACUUUCUAAGAUAAAGACAGCAACAUCUAACAUCUGUAUUAUACUAUCAUCUAGAAUUAGCAAGGUAUACUAUUUCUCUUCUACUUUUCUUUUGAGGCCACUUUAUUGAGUUGCUAGUGCAAACUGUACAGGAUAUAUUAAUUUUUACCUUUAGUGGCAUUAUAAACAACCUCACCUACACUCAAUAUUAACACUGAACAUAAACAUUUGCUGACCACAUCUAAUUGUACUAAGCAUCAUACCUUAGCCACUUGGCAGAUAUUACUGCAUUUACUAUUCAUAACUUUAUGAGGUAUCAUUAAACCAUUUUACAUAAGACUCUGUUUCUAUCUGAGAGUAAAACUUUUUCUAUUGGGUGCAAUCCCUUAAACAACUAAAUAAUCACCCAGGCAAUAAGAUAAGUGAACUUAUUCAACAUUUGAUACUACUGAACACUGUAUUUAUCAAAUCACUUUCUUUUCCUAUCAAGAGAGAACUUUGUAUUAAUUCAGCUAGCACCCAUGGACCCAGCAGUGGGCACCUACCUAAGGAAAACAGCAGUGAACAAGGCUCAUGCUAGACUUCCUGUCAAGCCACCAUCUAGGUGGCAAUUGGUUGACUUGACACAGCUGAAUUUUCUAUUUUUUCUCAGAAGGCUAAUAGACCUAGUAAGAAAUGAUGGAGUGUUAAGAAUGUAAGAACCCGAAAUCUAAUAGAGCAAAUGGUCUCCUCCAGGAAAGUAUUAUUUACUCAUAUCCGUAUUACCUAGAAGUGGCAGAAAAGAACUGGAAGGGAAGAUUGCUAUGGAUUACUGUAUACUCCGCUAAGCAUUCUCUGUGAAUGAACUGCAUUCUUGAGUGAAUCACCACUGGCAUUAUUGAAUAGUUUGAAUUCCAGGGCUCUGAGCUACAAUUUGGAUGUUCCACAAACAGUGAGAUACUGGAAAACUAAUAUGAACUCAUUAGAUUAUGAGAAACUGAAAUGAACAAAAGGAAAAAUUUUUAUUAACAGUCCAACAUUAGUGAAUUGGUCUUUAUUUGCAUUUUGUUGUUGCACCAAUAGGGGAUUUUUGACAGUUGUACUUUCAUCAAUUGGCUGAGAAAAAUAAUUUUUAAAAGAUAUUUAAAAUGUAUAAAAUUUGCGUGAGUACAUAGUAGGUAUAUAUAUUUAUGGAGUACACAAGAUGUUUUGAUUCAGGCAUGUAUUUGAAAUAAGCACAUGAUAAGGAAUGGGGUCUCUUUCUCAUCAAGCAUUUAUCCUUUGAGUUACAAACAAUCCAAUUAAACUCUUUUUAUUAUUUUAAAAUAUACAAUUAAGUUAUUAUUGAUUAUGGUCACUCUAUUGUGCUAUCAAAUAAUGGGUGUUAUUUAUUCUUUCUAUUUUUUUUGUACUCAUUAACCAUCCACACCUCCCCUCUAUACCCCCAUAACCCUUCCCAGCCUCUGGUAACCAUCCCUCUACUCUCUGUGUUCACAGGUUCAGUGGUUUUUAUUUUUAGAUCACACAAAUAAGUGAGAACAUGUGAUGUUUGUCUUUCUGUGCCUGGUUUUUUUCACUUAAUGUAAUGAUAUCUCAGUUCCAUCCAUGGUGUUGCAAACGACUGGGACUCACUCUUUUUUUAUGGCUGAACAGUACUACUCUAUUGUAUAUAUGUACCACAUUUUCUUUAUCCAUUCAUCUGUUGAUGGAGACUUAGGUUGCUUCCAAAUCGUAGCUAUUGUAAACAGUGCUGCAACAAACAUAGGAGUGUAGAUAUAUCUUUAAUAUAUUGACUUCCUGUCUUUUGGGUAUAGACCCAGCUAUUGGAUUGCUGGAUCAUAUGGUAGGUCCAAUUGUCGUUUUUUGAGGAACCUCCAAACUGUUCUCCAUAGUGGUGGUACUAAUUUACAUUCCUGCCAACAGUGUACUAGUGUUCCCGUUUCUUCACAUCCUUGCCAGCAUUUGUUAUUGCCUGACUUUUGAAUAUAAGCCAUUUUAACUGGGAUGAGGUGAUAUCUCAUUAUAGCUCUGGUUUGCAUUUCUCUGAAGAUCAAUGAUGUUGAGAACCUUUUCAUGUACUUGUUUUUCAUUUGUAUGUCUUCUUUUGAGAAAUGUCUAUUCAAAUAUUUUGCCCAUAUUUUGACCAAUCUGGUCAAAAUUAGACUAUUUAGAAUAGAGUUGUUUGAGCUCCUUAUAUAUUCUGGUUAUUGAUUCCUAUAAGGUGGGUAGUUUGCCAAUAUUUCUCCCAUUAUGUGGGCUGUUUCUUCACUUUGUUGAUUGUAUCCUUUGUUGUGCGGAAGCUUUUUAACCUGAUGUGAUCCCAUUUGUCCGUUUUUGCUUUAGUUGCCUGUACUUGCAGGGUAUGGCUCAAGAAGUCUUUGUACAGACCAAUGUCCUGGAAAUUUUCCCCAGUGUUUCCUUAUAGUAGUUUUAUAGUUUGAGGUCUUAGAUUUAAAUCUUUAAUUCAUUUUGAUUUUAUUUUUAUAUAUGGUGUUGGAUAAGGGUCUAGAUUCAUUCUUAUGCGUUUGGAUAUUCAAUUUUCCCAACACCAUUUAUUGAAGAGACUAUCUUUUCCCCAGUGUAGGUUCUUGGUACCUUCAUCAACAACGAGUUCACUGGAGGUGUGUGCAUUUGUUUCUGGGUUCUCUAUUCUGUUCCAUUGGUCUAUAUGUCUGUAUGUUUUUAGGCCAGUAUCAUGUUAUUUUGGUUACUAUAGCUCUGUAGUAUAAUUUGAAGCUGGAUAUUGUGAUUCCUCCAGUUUUGGUCUUUUUUCUUAGGAUAGUUUUGGCUAUUCUUGUUGCUAUUCUUUUGUGGUUGUGUGUAAGUUUUAGGAUAUAUUUUUCUAUUUCUGUGAAGAAAGUCAUUGCUAUUUUGAUAAGGAUUGUAUUGAAUAUGUAGAUUUCUUUAGGUAGUGUGAAUAUUUAACAAUAUUGAUUCUUCCAAUCCAUGAACAUGAAAUAUUUUCCCAUUUUUUAAUGUCCUCUUGAAUUUCUUUCAACAGUGUUUUAUUGUUUUCAUUAUAGAGGUCUUUCACUUCUUUGGUUAAGUUAAUUCCUUGGUAUUUAAUUUUAUGCAUGGCUAUUGUAAGUGGGAUUACUUUUAUUUCUUUUCUUACGUUGUUCACUGUUGGCAUAUAGAAAUACUACUGAUUUUUGUAUGUUGAUUUUGUAUCCUGAAACUUUACUGAAUGUAUCACUUCUAAUCAUUUUCCUAUGGAGUCUUUAGGUUUUUCCAAAUGUAAGGUUAUAUCAUCUGCAAACAAGGACAAUUUGACUUCUUCCUUUUCAUUGUGGAUGCCCUUUAUAUUUUUCUCUUGUCUGACUGCUCUAGAUAGGAGUUCCAGUACUAUGUUGAAUAAGUGGUGACAGUGGCCAUCCUUGUUUUGUUCCAGAUCUUAGGCGAAAGACUUUCAGUUUUUCCCCAUUCAGCAUGAUACUAGCUGUAGCUCUGUCAUAUAUGGUUUUUAUUAUUUUGAGGUAUGUUCCUUCUAU
rnacentral:lncRNA from 1 species